rnacentral:rRNA from 1 species
GCCCAACAGCUAGCCCACCUAAGAAAACUCAACAAGCCCCUGUUAAUAACCCCAAAUACCCUAGUAUUUAAAUUAAACAAACCAUUUUUCCCCCUUAGUAUAGGCGAUAGAAAAGGACAAACGGCGCAAUAGAGAAAGUACCGCAAGGGAACGCUGAAAGAGAAAUGAAACAACCCAGUGAAGCCUAAGAAAGCAGAGAUUAAACCUCGUACCUUUUGCAUCAUGAUUUAGCAAGUGUACCUCAAGCAAAGCGAACUUUAGUUUGACGUCCCGAAACUACGUGAGCUACUCCAAGACAGCCUAUAUAAUAGGGCGUACCCGUCUCUGUAGCAAAAGAGUGGGGAGAGCUUUGAGUAGAGGUGACAAACCUACCGAACCUAGUUAUAGCUGGUUGUCCAAGAAAUGAAUAGAAGUUCAGCCUCUUAGCUUCUCUUUUCACACUAGUUUAACCCCUAUUGAUCCCUUAAAGAAACCAAGAGAGUUAGUCAAAGGGGGUACAGCCCCUUUGAACCAAGACACAACUUUAUUAGGCGGGU